rnacentral:misc_RNA from 1 species
CGUUAGUGACUGCGGAGGGACAUUACCGAGUUCGCGCCCCUCGCGGGUCGACCUCCCACCCUGUGUUAUCGCUACCCGUGCUGCCCGGGCCCCGCGCCCGCGGCGGCACCACACUCUUGUUUUUAGUGUCGUCUGAGUCUAAAGAUAAUAGUUAAAACUUUCAACAACGGAUCUCUUGGUUCUGGCAUCGAUGAAGAACGCAGCGAAAUGCGAUAAGUAAUGCGAAUUGCAGAAUUCAGUGAGUCAUCGAAUCUUUGAACGCACAUUGCGCCCCGUGGUAUUCCGCGGGGCAUGCCUGUUCGAGCGUCAUUUCAACCCUCAAGCUCUGCUUGGUGUUGGGCCCCGCCCGCCCGUGGCCGGCCCUAAAACCAGUGGCGGUGCCGCCGGCUCCUAAGCGUAGUAACAUACACCUCGCUCCAGGCUCCCGGCGGUCGCUUGCCAGCAACCCCCAAUCUCCUAGGUUGACCUCGGAUCAGGUAGGGAUACCCGCUGAACUUAAGCAUAUCAAUAA